rnacentral:rRNA from 1 species
CUCCGUAGGGGUAACCUGCGGAGGGAUCAUUACACAAAUAUGAAGGCGGGCUGGAACCUCUCGGGGUUACAGCCUUGCUGAAUUAUUCACCCUUGUCUUUUGCGUACUUCUUGUUUCCUUGGUGGGUUCGCCCACCACUAGGACAAACAUAAACCUUUUGUAAUUGCAAUCAGCGUCAGUAACAAAUUAAUAAUUACAACUUUCAACAACGGAUCUCUUGGUUCUGGCAUCGAUGAAGAACGCAGCGAAAUGCGAUAAGUAGUGUGAAUUGCAGAAUUCAGUGAAUCAUCGAAUCUUUGAACGCACAUUGCGCCCUUUGGUAUUCCAAAGGGCAUGCCUGUUCGAGCGUCAUUUGUACCCUCAAGCUUUGCUUGGUGUUGGGCGUCUUGUCUCUAGCUUUGCUGGAGACUCGCCUUAAAGUAAUUGGCAGCCGGCCUACUGGUUUCGGAGCGCAGCACAAGUCGCACUCUCUAUCAGCAAAGGUCUAGCAUCCAUUAAGCCUUUUUUUCAACUUUUGACCUCGGAUCAGGUAGGGAUACCCGCUGAACUUAAGCAUAUCAAUAAGCCGGAGGAACC